UUCAACAGUUACAGAAGAUGCAAAACUGUAAUUGGGAUUAAAAUGGAAACAUUUAUAAAAAAGAAUAAAUUGAAUAAUUCUUCCAAGUGAUUUACUUUUAGGCAAAAAAUUAGACCGUAGUUUCAAGCUAC
rnacentral:sRNA from 1 species